rnacentral:misc_RNA from 1 species
GAUGUAAGCGCAGUCGUCGUCCGCAAUCGCCCGGCCAUUGGCGACUUUUAUCGGCUCCAUGUUCAAACACGCCGGCGUCACGGUCUCCCGCCGCAACCGGCGUCGUUUUUCAUGAACAUCUACGA